CCUGCGGGAGGCAGCAGUGGGGAAUCUUGCGCAAUGGGCGAAAGCCUGACGCAGCAACGCCGCGUGGGGGAUGAAGGCUCUCGGGUUGUAAACCCCUUUCAGCAGGGACGAAUCAAGACGGUACCUGCAGAAGAAGCCCCGGCUAACUACGUGCCAGCAGCCGCGGUAACACGUAGGGGGCAAGCGUUGUCCGGAUUUAUUGGGCGUAAAGAGCUCGUAGGUGGCUGAGUAAGUCGGAUGUUAAAUCCCCAGGCUCAACCUGGGACACCACCCGAUACUGCUCUGGCUAGAGUCCGGUAGGGGAGCGUGGAAUUCCUAGUGUAGCGGUGAAAUGCGCAGAUAUUAGGAGGAACACCAGCGGCGAAGGCGGCGCUCUGGGCCGGUACUGACACUGAGGAGCGAAAGCGUGGGUAGCAAACAGGAUUAGAUACCCUGGUAGUCCACGCUGUAAACGAUGUCAACUAGCCGUUGGGUCUCUUAGAGACUUAGUGGCGCAGCUAACGCAUUAAGUUGACCGCCUGGGGAGUACGGCCGCAAGGUUAAAACUCAAAUGAAUUGACGGGGGCCCGCACAAGCGGUGGAGCAUGCGGUUUAAUUCGAUGCAACGCGAAGAACCUUACCUACCCUUGACAUCCAGAGAAUCUGUUAGAGAUAGUAGAGUGCCUUCGGGAACUCUGAGACAGGUGCUGCAUGGCUGUCGUCAGCUCGUGUUGUGAAAUGUUGGGUUAAGUCCCGUAACGAGCGCAACCCUUAUCCUUAGUUGCCAGCGAGUCAAGUCGGGAACUCUAGGGAGACUGCCGGUGAUAAACCGGAGGAAGGUGGGGACGACGUCAAGUCAUCAUGGCCCUUAUGGGUAGGGCUACACACGUGCUACAACGGCCGGUACAGAGGGCAGCGAACUUGCGAAAGUAAGCAAAUCCCACAAAGCCGGUCCUAGUCCGGAUUGGAGUCUGCAACUCGACUCCAUGAAGUCGGAAUCGCUAGUAAUCGCAAAUCAGAAUGUUGCGGUGAAUACGUUCCCGGGCCUUGUACACACCGCCCGU
rnacentral:rRNA from 1 species